rnacentral:tRNA from 1 species
GCGCCCAUAGCUCAGUGGAUAGAGCAACGGCCUUCUAAGCCGUGGGCCGCAAGUUCGAUCCUUGCUGGGCGCGCCA